UUGUUGGAAGGAGGCUCUGUGACAUUUGAGCUCACUCAUGUGCAGUGCAUAUGACAGAUGUCAGUGCUGUGGCACUGCGCCCUUCCCUGUGGUUUCUUAGAGCCGGAACAAGGAAGCUUGCUGAUGCCCAGACUUACCUGUUUUUCAGGGACAGAAGACGGUCUAUGCAAAGUUUGGCAAAAACGUGUAUCUACCCGAAGAUGCGGAGUUUUACUUUGUUUAUGGCGGGUCGCAUCAGAGGCACGUGGUGAUUGCUGACCGUGUCCAGGACAAUGUCCUCCAAUCUAGCAUUCCAGGUGAGGAGGCGGGCUGGGGUGGGAAACAUCCUCCCUCCAGGGAUAUUUGCCAAGUAGUGAAUCACAAGGGAAAAGAAGACGCAUUUGCCAAGGUCAGGAGUUCACAGGGGUGUAUGUGCAUGCUCUUAGGAAGGACAAGGUCCCCUGUGCCAGUGACUCCUGGGGCCCCUCUACUAGUGUCUGCCUUGGCUUAGUCCUGAUAAGUUCAUCAUCCCAUUGGCUGCCUCCAGCUCUCAAGGUCUAUCAUCCUUAGAUGUAGACAACAGAGGAUGUACCCCGGGUCACCUCCUUUGUCCCAGCCUGAUGCCUGAGUUGGCUUGGGACAAGCUGACAUGAUAGACCAUGUGUUCAUUCUCCCUCCUCGUUCCUUUGUGGUCAGCCCGGCAGUUCCAGGAACUCUCGGAUAAGAAAAAGACAAAAACAAGUGCCUAACAGUGGUGGCCCACACCUUUAAUCCCUGCACUCAGUAGACAGAGGCAGGUGGAUCUCUGAAUUCAAAGCCAUCCUGAUCCUGAAGUUCAAGGACAUCCAGGGUACACCUAGAGGAACACUGUCUCAAAAACUGAAAGAAAGGAACCAACCCCCCUCGCUGCUGUAUCUUGUUAAUGGCUGCCAUUCCUCUGUGGGUCCCUCCCCCUUUCACUUUUACUCUGGUAAAUAAACUGACAUUCUUUCCGCUCCUCUUUACAUUCUCUCUUUUAAUGGGCAGCUUAUAGAGGAAGAAUAGAAAUAAUGAAAGCACCUCUUCUGACAGAAAGCACACUGUUUUUUCUUUCUUUCUUGUUUACAUGGAAAGGCCAACCUCAUUGAGCUCCUGUAUGCAAAAGCAAGCCGUUCUCCUUGUUUUGUGGCCUGCUCGAAGUGAGGGCCCUUGUCUUCAUUUUGAUAGGUUUCCCGGGGUGAAUGAUGGUCACUUAAGGUAACCUUUGAAUGUGGGAAAAUGGUUAGCCUCUCAAUGAUGGAAAUGUUCUGCGAUGUAUAACAGAUAGGUACAGUCUAAUGGGAUGGCAUAUUUUGAGCCCCUAAUUUUGAGAGUCAUUGUGAGGGGGUAGAUGCUCUUGGUUUUUUGGAACUCUGGCAGCAUAGCCUUUGCGGGAAAGCUUGGAGAGUCAGGCAGGCCAGGAGGGCACAGACCUAUGAGCACUUGCCAGUGGGUGUAAGGAUAUCAUGCCCAGGGGCCCGAGUGACUCUUCUCGGUCCAGCCAUACUAUCAUGGUCCCAGGGUUUUGGGUGCUAUCGACACUCUUGGAAAUUCUACC
rnacentral:lncRNA from 1 species